AUUGAACGCUGGCGGCAGGCCUAACACAUGCAAGUCGAACGAGUGGCGGACGGGUGAGUAAUAUCUGGGAAACUGCCUGAUUGAGGGGGAUAACUACCUUAAACGGUAGCUAAUACCGCCUACCAUCUGAUGUGCCCAGAUGGGAUUAGCUUGUUGGUUGGGUAACGGCUCACCAAGGCGACGAUCCCUGGCUGGGCUGAGAGGAGGACCAGCCACACUGGAACUGAGACACGGUCCAGUCUCCUACUGGAGGCGGCAGUGGGGGAUAUUGCACAAUGGACGGAGGCCUGGUGCAGCCAUGCCGCGUGUAUUGAGAAAGCCUUCGGGUUGGAAAGUACUUUCAGCGGGGAGGAGUUACCAGCAGAAGAAGCACCGGCUAACUCCGUGCCAGCAGCCGCGGUAAUUC
rnacentral:rRNA from 1 species